UACAGAGGGGGCAAGCGUUGUUCGGAAUUACUGGGCGUAAAGGGCGCGUAGGCGGCCUGUUAAGUCGAACGUGAAAUCCCCGGGCUCAACCCGGGAACUGCGUCCGAUACUGGCAGGCUUGAAUCCGGGAGAGGGAUGCGGAAUUCCAGGUGUAGCGGUGAAAUGCGUAGAUAUCUGGAGGAACACCGGUGGCGAAGGCGGCGAUCCUGGACCGGGCAUUGACGCUGAGGCGCGAAAGCCAGGGGGAGCAAACGGG
rnacentral:rRNA from 1 species